GGACGAACGCUGGCGGCGUGCCUAACACAUGCAAGUCGAACGGGGUUAAGUGAAAUUUCGGAUGGAGCUUAACUUAGUGGCGGACGGGUGAGUAACGCGUGGAUAACCUGCCUCACACUGGGGGAUAGCAGCUGGAAACGGCUGGUAAUACCGCAUAAGACCACAGCACCGCAUGGUGCAGGGGUAAAAGAUUUAUCGGUGUGAGAUGGAUCCGCGUCUGAUUAGCCAGUUGGCGGGUAACGGCCACCAAAGCGACGAUCAGUAGCCGGCCUGAGAGGGUGAACGGCCACAUUGGGACUGAGACACGGCCCAAACUCCUACGGGAGGCAGCAGUGGGGAAUAUUGCACAAUGGGCGCAAGCCUGAUGCAGCAAACCGCCGCGUGAGUGAAGAAGUAUUUCGGUAUGUAAAGCUCUAUCGGCAGGGAAGAAAGGCCCUUAACAGGGAGAUGACGGUACCUGACUAAGAAGCCCCGGCUAACUACGUGCCAGCAGCCGC
rnacentral:rRNA from 1 species